UACGAAGGGGCUAGCGUUGUUCGGAAUCACUGGGCGUAAAGCGCACGUAGGCGGAUCUUUAAGUCAGGGGUGAAAUCCCGAGGCUCAACCUCGGAACUGCCUUGAUACUGGGGAUCUCGAGUCCGGGAGAGGUGAGUGGAACUGGCGAGUGUAGAGGUGAAAUUCGUAGAUAUUCGCAAGAACACCAGUGGCGAAGGCGGACUCACUGGCCCGGGAACUGACGCUGAGGUGCGAAAGCGUGGGAGCGA
rnacentral:rRNA from 1 species